rnacentral:rRNA from 1 species
AGUGAACGCUGGCGGUAGGCCUAACACAUGCAAGUCGAACGGCAGCACAGAGGAGCUUGCUCCUUGGGUGGCGAGUGGCGGACGGGUGAGGAAUACAUCGGAAUCUACUCUGUCGUGGGGGAGAACGUAGGGAAACUUACGCUAAUACCGCAUACGACCUACGGGUGAAGGCAGGGGAUCUUCGGACCUUGCGUGAUUGAAUGAGCCGAUGUGGGAUUAGCUAGUUGGCGGGGGAAAGGCCCACCAAGGCGACGAUCCGUAGCUGGUGUGAGAGGAUGAUCAGCCACACCGGAACUGAGACACGGUCCAGACGCCUACGGGAGGCAGCAGUGGGGAAUAUUGGACAAUGGGCGCAAGCCUGAUCCAGCCAUACCGCGUGGGUGAAGAAGGCCUUCGGGUUGUGAAGCCCUUUUGUUGGGAAAGAAAUCCAUCUGGUUAAUACCCGGGUGGGAUGACGGUACCCAAAGAAUAAGCACCGGCUAACUUCGUGCCAGCCGCCGCAGUAA